GUCGAGAAUAAUUCACAAUGGACGAAAGUCUGAUGGUGCAACGCCGCGUGGAGGAUGAAGGUCUUCGGAUUGUAAACUCCUGUCAUCGGGGAGUAAGACCUGGCGGUAAAUAGCCGACAGGGUUGAUAGUACCCGAAGAGGAAGGGACGGCUAACUUCGUGCCAGCAGCCGCGGUAAUACGAAGGUCCCAAGCGUUGUUCGGAAUCACUGGGCGUAAAGGGAGCGUAGGCGGCGUGGUAAGUCAGAUGUGAAAUCCCGGGGCUCAACCCCGGAACGGCAUCCGAUACUGCCAUGCGUGAGGGUUGGAGAGGUAGCUGGAAUUCUCGGUGUAGCAGUGAAAUGCGUGGAUAUCGAGAGGAACACUCGUGGCGAAGGCGAGCUACUGGACAACAUCUGACGCUGAGGCUCGAAGGCCAGGGGAGCAAAAGGGAUUAGAUACCCCUGUAGUCC
rnacentral:rRNA from 1 species